rnacentral:ncRNA from 12 species
AAGGCAGGGCGUCCAAGUCUCGCAGUAUUGCAUUCCUCUGUACGUUAGCUAUCAUGGUUAACAGCCUAGCGACCGAGCCUUUGCAGCGUGCUUCGGGUUCCCUGAUCAGGAGAAGGACGCUGU